UUUUCAGCUAGGUUACAGGAAGCCGAGGCUUUCUCCACAUCUUCCCUCACUUCUUUGCCUGGCAUUCUAAGGUGAGCCAACUGCCACACCUUAUGCUGUUCUAUGGAAGGACCCAAACGCCAAGGAACUGGCAUCUCUGGAUAAUAGCCAGUGAGAAACCCCCGUUUGUCAAAGACCACUAUCCACUGCUGUUUCUCAGACCCACCACCAUGACUCACCAUGUCAAUGCUCUUUGGGGAGUGGUGUAUGUAUAAGCGGGUAGGAUGGACUGAGGGUAAAUGAACCACAUCCAACCAUGGGAACAGAUGCAACAGUGAAAAGAACAUCCCCGUCGCUUUGUCUGAGACUGCCACUCAUGCCUGGGGUUGCAAGGCAGACAUUUUUAAAAGUCUAAAAGCUUGGGCAUGUUUAGG
rnacentral:lncRNA from 1 species